CAGCCGCCGCGGUAAUACGGAGGGCGCGAGCGUUGUCCGGAUUCACUGGGCGUAAAGCGGGUGUAGGCGGUCGGGUAAGUCGGACGUGAAAGCCCGGGGCUCAACCCCGGGGGUGCCUCUGAAACUGGCGGGCUUGAGUGCUCUAGAGGGCAGUGGAAUUCCCGGUGUAGCAGUGAAAUGCGUAGAGAUCGGGAGGAACACCAGUGGCGAAGGCGGCUGCCUGGGGAGUCACUGACGCUGAGGCGCGAAAGCUAGGGGAGCAAACAGGAUUAGAUACCCUGGUAGUCCUAGCCGUAAACGAUGAGCGCUAUGUGUGAGGGGUAUCGACCCCCCUCGUGCAGUAGCUAACGCAUUAAGCGCUCCGCCUGGGGAGUACGGCCGCAAGGUUGAAACUUAAAGGAAUUGGCGGG
rnacentral:rRNA from 1 species